CCUACGGGAGGCAGCAGUGGGGAAUAUUGGACAAUGGGGGCAACCCUGAUCCAGCCAUGCCGCGUGUGUGAAGAAGGCCCUCGGGUUGUAAAGCACUUUCAGCGAGGAAGAACGCCUGUCGGUUAAUACCCGGUAGGAAAGACAUCACUCGCAGAAGAAGCACCGGCUAACUCCGUGCCAGCAGCCGCGGUAAUACGGAGGGUGCAAGCGUUAAUCGGAAUUACUGGGCGUAAAGCGCGCGUAGGUGGCUUGAUAAGCCGGUUGUGAAAGCCCCGGGCUCAACCUGGGAACGGCAUCCGGAACUGUCAGGCUAGAGUGCAGGAGAGGAAGGUAGAAUUCCCGGUGUAGCGGUGAAAUGCGUAGAGAUCGGGAGGAAUACCAGUGGCGAAGGCGGCCUUCUGGACUGACACUGACACUGAGGUGCGAAAGCGUGGGUAGCAAACAGGAUUAGAUACCCUGGUAGUCCACGCCGUAAACGAUGUCGACCAGCCGUUGGGUGCCUAGAGCACUUUGUGGCGAAGUUAACGCGAUAAGUCGACCGCCUGGGGAGUACGGCCGCAAGGUUAAAACUCAAAUGAAUUGACGGGGGCCCGCACAAGCGGUGGAGCAUGUGGUUUAAUUCGAUGCAACGCGAAGAACCUUAC
rnacentral:rRNA from 1 species